AGUGAACGCUGGCGGCGUGCUUAACACAUGCAAGUCGAACGAGAACGGAAUAUAGCUUGCUAUAUUUGUCAGCUAAGUGGCGCACGGGUGAGUAAUGUAUAGAUAACCUGCCCUUAAGAAAGGAAUAACAGUUGGAAACGACUGCUAAUGCCCUAUAUGCCUUUAAUACAUAAGUAUGCAAGGGAAACGCUUUAGUGCUUAAGGAUGGGUCUGUAUGGUAUCAGCUUGUUGGUGAGGUAAUGGCUCACCAAGGCUAUGACGCCUAACUGGUUUGAGAGGAUGAUCAGUCACACUGGAACUGAGACACGGUCCAGACUCCUACGGGAGGCAGCAGUGGGGAAUAUUGCACAAUGGACGAAAGUCUGAUGCAGCAACGCCGCGUGGAGGAUGACACAUUUCGGUGCGUAAACUCCUUUUAUAUAGGAAGAUAAUGACGGUACUAUAUGAAUAAGCACCGGCUAACUCCGUGCCAGCCGCCGCGGUAAAAC
rnacentral:rRNA from 1 species